UAAAGUAAAAAAAAUUACUAAAUCAAAAAAGGAGAAACACAAACACACACCAUACAAUUGGGGAAAGGCUAUUGCAGAGGAGAAAAAAUAAAUAAAAGGGGUAGUGAGUUUGAGAGAGAGGUAACGAACAAUAGAGAAAAAUAUAUUGGAGUAAAGGGAGGUGAAGAUAUGGUGCAUAAAGAAUGAAAGAUUGUGAUAGUGGCGGAACUCGUCGUAGAUCUGCAUUGGAUUUGUUGGCAAUAUAGCGAACUCUUUGGUGCUUGCAGUGGCUGACGAUGGUCGGAUUCAACGUAGGUGCACAUGGUCGAUAAGAGACGAUGGUGAAUGGAGGUUGUGUCGGCGAGGAACAGGAAGAGAGAGGCUGCAGACAUUCAAUGUUUGAAGGCAGUCAGUUCAGUGGAUGAGAAUUGACCAAGAUACUAAAGAAAAACAAUCAAUAAACUCCUUCAAGUCAAAAUUGUCAGCAUGAGCAAAUGAGUAUCUUGAAGUGGUUCAUAUGACAUAUGUGUACCAUUGGAGGUGCCUUCCUUUGGAGGUAGUAAGUAUGUCAUAAUAUUUGUUGAUGAAUUUAGUAUAAUGUUAUCAAUAUACUUGAAAAAAACGAAAGAUGAAGAACUUGAAAUUUUUAAAAAUUUCAAAGUAAAGGUAAUAAAAUAGUAUGGAAGAUAUGCCAAGGUGUUAAUGACAUAUGGAGAUGGUGAAUAUACUGUAAGAUUUAUGGGUCACAUAUGUAAUUAAUUAAUAAAGUGUGUUAGGGUCAUUAUA